CCUACGGGAGGCAGCAGUGAGGAAUAUUGGUCAAUGAACGAAAGUCUGAACCAGCCAAGUCGCGUGCAGGAUGACUGCCCUAUGGGUUGUAAACUUCUUUUAUAUGGGGAUAAAGUCCCGUACGUGUACUGUCUUGUAUGUAUCAUACGAAUAAGGAUCGGCUAACUCCGUGCCAGCAGCCGCGGUAAUACGGAGGAUCCAAGCGUUAUCCGGAUUUAUUGGGUUUAAAGGGUGCGUAGGCGGUGUGUUAAGUCAGAGGUGAAAGAUCGGGGCUCAACCGCGGAACUGCCUCUGAUACUGUGGAACUAGAGAGCAGCUGCGGUAGGCGGAAUUCAUGGUGUAGCGGUGAAAUGCUUAGAGAUCAUACAGAACACCGAUUGCGAAGGCAGCUUACUGAACUGUAACUGACGCUGAGGCACGAAAGUGUGGGUAGCAAACAGGAUUAGAUACCCUUGUAGUC
rnacentral:rRNA from 1 species